UGGGAAUUGGGCAUGGGCGAAGCCUGACCAGCGAUGUCGCGUGAGGGAUGAAGGCCUUCGGGUCGUAAACCUCUGUCAGGAGGGACGAUGGGACUUAUGUCUUGACGGUACCUCCAGAGGAAGCCCCGGCUAACUCCGUGCCAGCAGCCGCGGUAAUACGGAGGGGGCAAGCGUUGCUCGGAAUUACUGGGCGUAAAGGGUCCGCAGGCUGUCAGGCAAGUUGGUUGUGAAAGCUCAAGGCUUAACCUUGGAAUUGCAUCCAAAACUGCCUGACUAGAGUACAAGAGAGGUUGGCAGAAUUCCCGGUGUAGCGGUGAAAUGCAUAGAUAUCGGGAGGAAUACCAGAGGCGAAGGCGGCCAACUGGCUUGUAACUGACGCUCAGGGACGAAAGCGUGGGUAGCAAACCGGAUUAGAUACCCGGGUAGUCCACGCCCUAAACGAUGGAUGCUAGGUAGGGGGAAUUCAAUUCUCCUUGCCGUAGUUAACGCAUUAAGCAUCCCGCCUGGGGAGUACGGUCGCAAGGCUGAAACUCAAGGGAAUUGACG
rnacentral:rRNA from 1 species